rnacentral:lncRNA from 1 species
AGAGGAAGUUGAUGAACAGUAACUUUGAUUGUAUGAAGUAGCAGAGCUUUGGCCCAAAGUUGGCUUAUCCGUAUUGUUCACUUACCUCCCUUUUUUAUAGGUGAUUCUGGUGUAACCGUUGAGCACGUGGUCCUGCUUUUUAUGGUGCUAAAUUAUCGGAUCAUAAAUAUAGAAUUAGUGGGGCAUUACUUCUCCUUAAUAGCCGUGACAUAGUCGAUAACUAUUCGUGACGGUUAUGAUAUGUUGAGCAGAUUGCCAACCAUACGUCGGUAUAACCGACUUUAUGUCAGCAGAAUCUAUGAGCGAUCAUCGG